GGGGGGUGUAGGGGGGGUUUAAAUGAGAGACGGCAGCAAAGUGAAGCAGUGAGUCUGACAGAGGAGGAGAGCGCAGAGGAGCUUCACCACCACGCCGCAUGUGCAGCAGUAAACUCCGGUCCAGAUUUCUCCCUUUAGGAACAUCCUGUCCUCUCCCUGCCUGGACUGCUGGUCUGGGUCUUCAGGGUCAAACAGGGACCGGGAUUCUGUGACCCUCCUUCAGGUCCGGCCUUCAGCAGACAGGGCCUCUUCACCGCCUGGACUCCUGCGGUUGGCAGACGGGGUUCUCAGAACCAGAGGGAUGGAGGUCAGCACGGGUCCACAGAACCCCCCGCCUGCUCAGGCUGAACCUGAAGGCCCCCUGAAGGCCCAACAGAACCAGACAGACUCUUUCCUCAUGGCAGCCCGCCUCCUGCGGGGGGGAUGGCUGGGGGAGCCCGGCUCACCCAGAUGCCAGUUCAGUAAUUUGGUUAGCUCCAUUGAAGUUCUGAAUCCAGCAGAGGUUUGGAGCAGGACCUCCGGGACCAGGAGGAGGGCCAGCCCGAGUGGAGAUGAGGGUUCUGAAAAGCAAGAGGCCGAGCAGACGCCUGGCGGUCCGAUCUCAGUUAAAAGACAGAUGGACAGAGCUGGACGUGAGACUGGAGGCGUGUCCAUCCGGGCGGCGGCGUGCCGGAUGGCCUGCAGGCAGAGAGGGAGGUUCAAGGCUCCGGUUCUGCCGGCAAUCACUGAGAUUUAAAUUAGGAAAGGUCCAAAACACGACCUUUGAUUUUUCUGAUGUUGUGUAAGAGUUCUCAUUAAAAUAGUUUUUAACCCUUUUGAA